rnacentral:rRNA from 1 species
CGCGUAGGCGGCUAGGCAAGUCGGAGGUGAAAUCCCUCGGCUCAACCGAGGAACUGCCUCCGAUACUGCUUGGCUUGAGUCCCGGAGAGGGUGGUGGAAUUCCCAGUGUAGCGGUGAAAUGCGUAGAUACUGGGAGGAACACCGGUGGCGAAGGCGGCUACCUGGACGGGAACUGACGCUGAGGCGCGAAAGCGUGGGGAGCAAACA